GAUAGUGUGGUGAAAUGGUAAACGCGGAAGAUUGCUAAUCUUUGGGAAAUAUUCCUUGUGAGUUCGAGUCUCAUCACUGUCU
rnacentral:tRNA from 1 species